UAGAGAGAGAGAGAGAGAGAGAGAUCAGUCAGUAAUUAGUAUCGGAGGUAAUCUAGAAACAUGAGAAAUUGGCUAUUAACACGCUCGCUACCGGCGUCACAAACACGCGAUGCGAUCUCUAACCGGGUAUUUGCGUCACACAUGUGUGCAAAAUGUUAUGUGUGAAACGCUCAAUUUGCCUAUUUUAUGUAUAUGUACAUGUAUUAUGUAUAUGUAUUUAUGAACAAUCAGUUUCUCUCAGUGAGAGAAAGAGAGAGAGAGAAAAAAAAUUGGCCGAGACAGCCGUCGCUAGAUGAAGCGCACGAUAGUUUUAAUUUUUAAAUCUCAACGGGAGAAUAAAAUUGUCCGACAACGUAACGCACUUUAUAUGUGCAUACGUGUGAACAUAUGCAUUAUAUUAAUUGCAGGUACAGAAAACCAACACCAUUAACUCUUGAUUAACAAGCUUCAUGCAGUCACACGUAUAACAAGGUGGAGUCGGGUUUGACCAACCCGACCAACAAGAAUAGGUAGAAGCAUUUUGUAGAUUUUUCAAAUAAUUUUCUCGAUUGGGAAUCUUUCAUUCUCACAAUAAGCUAGAAAGUAUUUAAAAUUAAGUAAAGUGCACCACAUACUAUGUAAAAUAUCUGAAAUAUAACGCUUCACAAACACGCCACGCGGAAACAAUAGAAUAUGGAUCCGAUCCGAUCCGACUCAAUCUUGUUAUUCGAGAGUCAAUACCGUUCCAUUCUCUAGGCAUAGGACAGUCGAAAAUUUUCCACCAGACACGUUACGUCCGAAUAUUCAUGUAUCAUGGCUGUUGAUUAUUCGAUGAAUAGGCAAAAAAUACUCUAAAGCAGCAGUCGUGAUGCACAAAUAUUCAGAAACGAUGCACCGAUUGGAAUUUCUCGAUGUCACAUGCUCGAAGGCCGGGACUGUAUCAAUGGAGCGUUCUUUGCUAAAAAUAUAACGUGGAUUAUAUAACAAGCGACUUCCAAUUUAAGCGCAGUAGCGAGCGUGUUAAGGAAUAAUCGACGACGCGUCGACUGGAAAAACUCGACCCGUUUAAGCAUCGCCGCGGACACUUGCCUUCUUCACUGCAGGUGCCGACCAUGCCUUUGAUGAUGGCGGAGGCAUUCAAGUGACAUCGUCCUUGCAAUACGCAACCAUUUACCUGAUGGAACA